rnacentral:rRNA from 1 species
UACAGAGGUGGCAAGCGUUGUUCGGAAUUACUGGGCGUAAAGAGCUCGUAGGCGGUUCAGUAAGUCGGGUGUGAAAUCUCCGUGCUCAACACGGAGCGGCCACCUGAUACUGCUGUGACUCGAGUCCGGUAGGGGAGUGUGGAAUUCCCGGUGUAGCGGUGAAAUGCGCAGAUAUCGGGAGGAACACCAGUAGCGAAGGCGGCACUCUGGGCCGUGACUGACGCUGAGGAGCGAAAGCGUGGGGAGCGAACAGG